UUAAUGAACAAUGCCCAUAAAAGGUAAUUUUUUUUCUAUUAAUUUGAAUACCAUCAAUGUAAUAAAUUCACAUACCAUCUCAGUUUAUUUUUAAUAAGCCUGUUACUUCCCUUUACUAGUGAACUGGAACUUUGUAAAUAUAAUAGGACUGCUAUACUCUUAGUCAAUACUAGAUUUAGGUUUGAACUAAAUCAGAUAAAAUGGCAAAUAAGAUCCAAUGAACUACAAGAGGAUACUGCU